rnacentral:piRNA from 1 species
ACUUAGUUUUUCUGAGUCGCCAUCUUGUC